rnacentral:rRNA from 1 species
UACGGAGGAUGCACGCGUUAUCCGGAAUUAUUGGGCGUCAAGCGUCCGCAGGUGGCACUUCAAGUCUGUCGUCAAAGACCGGGGCUUAACCCUGGAAAGGCGAUGGAAACUGAAAGGCUAGAGAGAGGUAGGGGUAGAGGGAAUUCCCAGUGUAGCGGUGAAAUGCGUAGAGAUUGGGAAGAACAUCGGUGGCGAAAGCGGCGUCCUGGACCAACACUGACACUGAUGAGCGAAAGCCAGGGGAGCAAACGGG